rnacentral:rRNA from 1 species
AUCGAACGCUGGCGGCAGGCUUAACACAUGCAAGUCGAACGAGCGGCGGACGGGUGAGUAAUGUGUGGGAAACUGCCUGAUGGGGGGGGGUCACUACUGGAAACGGUAGAUAAUACCGCAUACCAUCAGAUGUGGCCAGAAGGGAUUGGCUAGGAGGUGGGGUAAUGGCUCACCUAGGCGACGAUCCCUAGCUGGUCUGAGAGGAUGACCAGCCACACUGGAACUGAAAAACGGUCCAGACUCCUACGGGAGGCAGCAGUGGGGAAUAUUGCACAAUGGGCGCAAGCCUGAGGCAGCCAUGCCGCGUGUGUGAAGAAGGCCUUCGGGUUGUAAAGCACUUUCAGCGAGGAGGCGUUACUCGCAGAAGAAGCACCGGCUAACUCCGUGCCAGCAGCCGCGGUAAUUC